rnacentral:rRNA from 1 species
GAUGAACGCUGGCGGCGUGCCUAAUACAUGCAAGUCGAGCGAACGGACGAGAAGCUUGCUUCUCUGAUGUUAGCGGCGGACGGGUGAGUAACACGUGGAUAACCUACCUAUAAGACUGGGAUAACUUCGGGAAACCGGAGCUAAUACCGGAUAAUAUUUUGAACCGCAUGGUUCAAAAGUGAAAGACGGUCUUGCUGUCACUUAUAGAUGGAUCCGCGCUGCAUGAGCUAGUUGGUAAGGUAACGGCUUACCAAGGCAAGGAUGCAUAGCCGACCUGAGAGGGUGAUCGGCCACACUGGAACUGAGACACGGUCCAGACUCCUACGGGAGGCACCAGUAGGGAAUCUUCCGCAAUGGGCGAAAGCCUGACGGAGCAACGCCACGUGAGUGAUGAAGGUCUUCGGAUCGUAAAACUCUGUUAUUAGGGAAGAACAUAUGUGUAAGGAAAUGUGCACAUCUUGACGGUACCUAAUCAGAAAGCCACGGCUAACUACGUG